rfam:Trichosporon oleaginosus strain IBC0246 unplaced genomic scaffold CC85scaffold_40, whole genome shotgun sequence.
GCCUCGUUAUAUCAGUCGGUAGAUUAAAUGACUCUUAAUGUGGACUUUGUCCGGUUGAUCAUUCGGUCGUGGGUUCGAGCCCCACACGAGGCU